rnacentral:rRNA from 1 species
AACGCGUGUGGAAUCUGCCCUCAGGAGGGGGAUAACGGUUGGAAACGACCGCUAAUACCCCAUAUGCCGAGAGGUGAAAUGAAUUUCGCCUGAGGAUGAGCCCGCGUCUGAUUAGCUUGUUGGUGAGGUAAUGGCUCACCAAGGCUUCGAUCAGUAGCUGGUCUGAGAGGAUGAUCAGCCACACUGGGACUGAGACACGGCCCAGACUCCUACGGGAGGCAGCAGUGGGGAAUUUUCCGCAAUGGGCGAAAGCCUGACGGAGCAACGCCGCGUAAGGGACGAAGGCCUCUGGGCUGUAAACCUCUUUUCUCAAGGAAGAAGAUAUGACGGUACUUGAGGAAUAAGCCACGGCUAAUUCCGUGCCAGCAGCCGCGGUAAUACGGGAGUGGCAAGCGUUAUCCGGAAUUAUUGGGCGUAAAGCGUCCGCAGGCGGCCUUUCAAGUCUGCUGUUAAAGCGUGGAGCUUAACUCCAUCAUGGCAGUGGAAACUGAUAGGCUUGAGUAUGGUAGGGGCAGAGGGAAUUCCCGGUGUAGCGGUGAAAGUGCGUAGAUAUCGGGAAGAACACCAGUGGCGAAGGCGCUCUGCUGGGCCAUAACUGACGCUCAUGGACGAAAAGCCAGGGGAGCGAAAGGGAUUAGAUACCCCCUGUAGUCCUGGCCGUAAACGAUGAACACUAGGUGUCGGGGAGAAUCGACCCCCU